GAUCGUUUAGGUCCGUGUUGUAGUUUUAGCUACUUGAUGGUCUUACAUGUAAAUUAACGUAUAAUUGUUGGGCCAUUUAUAAUCCCAAAAGAAAUUCUCAGUAGGAAAUAUUGGAAGAAAACGAAAGUUGUAUCCAGGUAAUCAUAAAAGAGUGGAAAAUAGCGUGCCAGCAGCCGCGGUUAUACGCAUGUUUUAAGUUAAAAUUUAUUUACGAGGUUUUGUUUAUACUUUAAAUUAAUGAAUUUGUCUCCAUUAUUAAGUAGAAUUUUAUUGGAUAAGAACAAUUUAUUUUGUUAAAACACAUUAGAUAGGUUGAUGAACCAGGAUUAGAUACCCUGUUACUUCUAUUAAUAUACCUCGGAUUAGUAAUACUUUAGAAAUUUAACGGAUUUGGCGGCAAGAUAGCCCAUUUAGAGGAACCUGCCCUAUAAAUGAUGAUCCACGAAUUACUUCACUCUCCCUAGUAAUCAGUUUGUAUACCGCUGUUGUCAGUCAGUUUCUUUAGAAAACUUUCAGUAAUGAUAAUUUCAUUGACUUCAAGUAAAGGUGCAGCUUAUGGGAAAGAAAGAGGUGGGUUACAAUUUUUAGAUAAAAACGGAUAGUAAUAUGAAAAAUUACUUGAAGGUGGAUUUAAUUGUAAGAUUUAUACUAGUCUGAUAUGAGCACUAACUUGUGUACACACCGCCCGUCGCUCUCCUUUAUAAAUGAGAUAAGUCGUAACAAGGUAAGUGUAAUGGAAAUUGUACUUGAA
rnacentral:ncRNA from 1 species